UUAGGAAUAUUCGGCAAUGGGCGAAAGCCUGACCGAGCAAUGCCGCGUGUGAGAUGAAGGUCCUCUGGAUUGUAAAUCACUUUUAUUUGGGAAGAACUGUGAAUAUAGGAAAUGAUAUUCACUUGACGGUACCUUUUGAAUAAGCCCCGGCUAACUACGUGCCAGCAGCCGCGGUAAUACGUAGGGGGCGAGCGUUAUCCGGAUUUAUUGGGCGUAAAGCGUGUGUAGGCGGUUUAUUAAGUCUGAGAUGAAAGGCUAUGGCUUAACCAUAGUUUGUUUCAGAAACUGGUAGACUAGAGUGCAGUAGAGGCAAUUGGAAUUCAUAGUGUAGCGGUGGAAUGCGUAGAUAUUAUGAGGAACAUCAGUGGCGAAGGCGAAUUGCUGGGCUGUUACUGACGCUGAGACACGAAAGCGUGGGGAGCAAAUAGG
rnacentral:rRNA from 1 species